UCAUUUGUUGUUGAUUUGUUUUUUUUCAGAAUUGCAUUGGCAAAUCAUGAAAGGUGUAAUGUUCACGGAUUUUUGUUAGAUGAUCUGUUGGUCCGGUUUAAUUUUAGCGGGCAUGAGGCAUCUGGGUACUGUUUACGAAUUGAUAGCGCACCUUGCUUAAAUCCUACUAACAAUUUUCUCAAGAAUUCAUACUAACAAGUGUCUUUGCUUUUUGUUUGAUGCAUUUAACAUGUUCAGGAAACAUGUUUCAAGGGCCUUGUUUGUCGAUCUGGAGCCCACUGUUAGUAGAUUAUGGCAGUAAAUCAUAGUCAGUUUCCUUGUCUACACUUCAUCAUAGCCUCAUAUGUACUAUUAUAUGACUGUUGCAUUUCAUUUCUUUUUGCAGAUAGGUCAUGUUGUUGGACGAGGGCGGGCUAGCGGAGGGCGUGUCGGCGGACGACGUGGAGGUCGUGUUCGGCU
rnacentral:lncRNA from 1 species